ACUCAGUGAAAUUGAACUCGCUGUGAAGAUGCAGUGUACCCGCGGCAAGACGGAAAGACCCCGUGAACCUUUACUAUAGCUUGACACUGAACAUUGAGCCUUGAUGUGUAGGAUAGGUGGGAGGCUUUGAAGUGUGGACGCCAGUCUGCAUGGAGCCGACCUUGAAAUACCACCCUUUAAUGUUUGAUGUUCUAACGUUGACCCGUGAUCCGGGUUGCGGACAGUGUCUGGUGGGUAGUUUGACUGGGGCGGUCUCCUCCUAAAGAGUAACGGAGGAGCACGAAGGUUGGCUAAUCCUGGUCGGACAUCAGGAGGUUAGUGCAAUGGCAUAAGCCAGCUUGACUGCGAGCGUGACGGCGCGAGCAGGUGCGAAAGCAGGUCAUAGUGAUCCGGUGGUUCUGAAUGGAAGGGCCAUCGCUCAACGGAUAAAAGGUACUCCGGGGAUAACAGGCUGAUACCGCCCAAGAGUUCAUAUCGACGGCGGUGUUUGGCACCUCGAUGUCGGCUCAUCACAUCCUGGGGCUGAAGUAGGUCCCAAGGGUAUGGCUGUUCGCCAUUUAAAGUGGUACGCGAGCUGGGUUUAGAACGUCGUGAGACAGUUCGGUCCCUAUCUGCCGUGGGCGCUGGAGAACUGAGGGGGGCUGCUCCUAGUACGAGAGGACCGGAGUGGACGCAUCACUGGUGUUCGGGUUGUCAUGCCAAUGGCACUGCCCGGUAGCUAAAUGCGGAAGAGAUAAGUGCUGAAAGCAUCUAAGCACGAAACUUGCCCCGAGAUGAGUUCUCCCUGACUCCUUGAGAGUCCUGAAGGAACGUUGAAGACGACGACGUUGAUAGGCCGGGUGUGUAAGCGCAGCGAUGCGUUGAGCUAACCGGUACUAAUGAACCGUGAGGCUUAACCUU
rnacentral:rRNA from 1 species